rnacentral:ncRNA from 1 species
CGGCACGCGGGGUACAUCGACGCGCGACCCACACACUGGCCGCCGGGGCCGCGCCGAGUCACUGGCGAACCCGACCCGCCCGGAG